rnacentral:rRNA from 1 species
GGAAUAUUGGACAAUGGGCGCAAGCCUGAUCCAGCAACGCCGCGUGGAGGAUGAAGGUCUUCGGAUUGUAAACUCCUGUCAGGCGGGACGCAAGGUCACGCCCUACUACGUCAUGACUCUGACGGUACCGCCAGAGGAAGCCCCGGCUAACUCCGUGCCAGCAGCCGCGGUAAUACGGAGGGGGCAAGCGUUAUUCGGAAUUAUUGGGCGUAAAGGGCGCGUAGGCGGCCCUGUAAGUCAAAGGUGAAAGCCCUCGGCUCAACCGAGGAACUGCCUUUGAUACUGCAAGGCUCGAGGCCGGGAGAGGGUGGUGGAAUUCCCAGUGUAGCGGUGAAAUGCGUAGAUACUGGGAGGAACACCCGUGGCGAAGGCGGCCACCUGGACUGGAUCUGACGCUGAGGCGCGAAAGCGUGGGGAGCAAAC